UAGGGAAUCUUCGGCAAUGGACGAAAGUCUGACCGAGCAACGCCGCGUGAGUGAAGAAGGUUUUCGGAUCGUAAAACUCUGUUGUUAGAGAAGAACAAGGACGUUAGUAACUGAACGUCCCCUGACGGUAUCUAACCAGAAAGCCACGGCUAACUACGUGCCAGCAGCCGCGGUAAUACGUAGGUGGCCAGCGUUGUCCGGAUUUAUUGGGCGUAAAGCGAGCGCAGGCGGUUUCUUAAGUCUGAUGUGAAAGCCCCCGGCUCAACCGGGGAGGGUCAUUGGAAACUGGGAGACUUGAGUGCAGAAGAGGAGAGUGGAAUUCCAUGUGUAGCGGUGAAAUGCGUAGAUAUAUGGAGGAACACCAGUGGCGAAGGCGGCUCUCUGGUCUGUAACUGACGCUGAGGCUCGAAAGCGUGGGGAGCAAACAGG
rnacentral:rRNA from 1 species